rnacentral:rRNA from 1 species
AACGAACGCUGGCGGCAGGCUUAACGCAUGCAAGUCGAACGGUUGUAGCAAUACAGCAGUGGCAGACGGGUGAGUAACACGUGGGAACCUUCCUAGAGGUACGGAACAACGCAGGGAAACUUGCGCUAAUACCGUAUACGCUCGUGAGAGGAAAGAUUUAUCGCCUUUAGACGGGCCCGCGUCGGAUUAGGGAGUUGGUGGGGUAACGGCCUACCAAGCCGACGAUCCGUAGCUGAUCUGAGAGGAUGAUCAGCCACACUGGGACUGAGACACGGCCCAGACUCCUACCGGAGGCAGCAGUGGGGAAUCUUGGACAAUGGGCGCAAGCCUGAUCCAGCCAUGCCGCGUGAGUGAAGAAGGCCUUAGGGUUGUAAAGCUCUUUUGCCAGGGACGAUAAUGACGGUACCUGGAGAAUAAGCCCCGGCAAACUUCGUGCCAGCCGCCGCCGUAAGAC